AGCGAGGACUCCAGAGUGCCCUCGAGCGACCCACAAUUCCCUCACCCUGGCUAGGGUUCCUAGCCCCUCCUCCUCCCCCGCCCCUCCUACUCCGCCGCCGCCGCUGAGUGCUUCCUGACCUCGCCAGGAGCAGAUAGCAGGACCCCACCGCCGUGCCUCCCUCUCUCCUUUCUCCUCUUUCCUCUCUCUCUCUCUCUCUCUCUCUCUCUCUCUCUCUUUUCUCUAAACUACGUGACGUUCCUCUCUACAUGUGCCUUCAUGGCCGCGUCAUGGAUCUCGGCGCCGUGGGCUGCUUGCUCCUCCUCCGACGGUCUGCGCAGGUGAUGGCGAGCUAUGUAGGUCAGUACCUCCUCUCAUCUUUCUGCCAAGGAUGCCUUGGCCUCUCCUUUCUCUGUCUGCAAGUGAUGGCAGCGGGGGAUCCGGGGCCGGUUGCGAACGGGAAUGAGGACUAGUGGCAGCAGGGAAUGAGAUCUGGUAGCGGUCUACUCCUCUCUCUCUCUCUCUCUCUCUCUCUCUCUCUCUCUCUCUCUCUCUCGAUGCUGGACUGCUGGUGUCGCCGAUGCAGUAUCAAGUUAGGGUGAUCUUAGUCUUCUUCAAGGUGUUGACAGAACUGAAGAAGAGGUACAGUGCCAUGAGCCCAUGAGAAACUUUGUGAUGCAAAUGAAUCAUCUCUGACUAUCUGUAACUUUGUGAUUUUUCGACAGUGACAAGUUGACAAUGAACUAUUUUCCUGCUUGACUUGAAUCGUCAAUGUAAUAUGUUAUGUAUUGCUGGUGACAUUUUAUGUAUUGCUUUGGUUUGUCCACAGUCAACCAAAUUAUGGAGUUUCAGUCAUAUAUGUUGUCUGUUAUUUCAUACUCGCCGGUCUCCGACCGCCGGCGUCGGCAGCACCGCCGCCUCCUCCAACACUCUUUGUCGGCCGCCCGCGUGCCGGUGCGAGGUAAGCUCGAUGCUCUCGGCAAGGUAUGUGAUCAGAUUCAGAUGGGCUCUUCUUCAGUUGCUCUAUCUGCCUUUUAUUUGAACGGAUCCGACGCUGGGAAAUUUUAUUUCAGGAAGCCAUGGAGCUGAGGGAGCAGGCGCAAAAUCUAUGGUACACAUCAAAUCGAAUCAAUAGUGGUUUUCUACAGGCACAUCAGUGCAAAAAAAUGACAAUUGAUAGCCUCUCCUUUUAGCUAUCAUACCAUGUGUUGUGUCACUAAGUUACAGUAUCAACUGCGGUCUACAUAUUUUCAUAUUACUGAAGUUUAUAGCCCUCCAAUGCAGUAUCAGUAUGCUUUAUAAAAUUAUUCGAGUAUUGCAAAAUUGCAUGAUACAUCAAAUUGGAGCGUAUUCUAUUUUUUAUGGACUGCGGACUUAUGUUGCUUAUUUAGAGGCUGCCGUACAUGGAUCAGGUAUGAUAUUGAUUGCAGAAAUUUCUAUACGACUCUUGUGAAUUUCGACCUUGUUCUUCUUGAUUUAGGAGAACUACAAUUUUUUGGUGCAUGAUCUAAAAUAGUUGCAACAAAUCCUCCCCUAAUGUUCUUAAUGUUCUAUGGUAAAUUACUCUAAUGAUUCAAUGGAUAAUAUAUGGUAUUGACUUGGACAUUGGUGUUGUGGAACACUCUAGAAGGUUUUGGAACUUAUAGAAGUAUCAGUUGGCAGGGUCUGAAAAUCAUGGUGUAAGUGUUUCAGCCUAUUAAUCUGUAGAUAAAAAAGUUUGUACAUCUCUACCAAUAAGGCAAUAAUCCCGAAGAAAGUUCUACUAUUGCAAACGCUCCAACUGAACAAGGAAUAUGAAUGUUUAAAUGAAGAAAGAAGCCAGUUUCUCGAGAAGGAAUACAGAAUAAUAUUUUGGAUUAUUUACUUGAGAUUUCUUCCAAGUCCAUGACCUCUGUAUGUUGAUUGUUUUAGAUGGUUUUCCCCGGUGAGAACAUUUUGAAGGUUAUCUCUUUAGGUUCUUGUAUUUAGCUCACGGCUCCAACUUUUCUUGAAGGGAAACUCAAGACAUGUAUGUGCGAGGAAGGGAAGAGGAGAGAAACUUUGACAUUUUUCAUAACUUUCUUUUUCCGUGGCAACGCAUGACCGUGGCACCUUACAAGAUGAUAAAGAUCAACACGGAUGUUCUGAUGUUCUGAUAACUGCAAAAUAGGAAUGCAUGCAUCAAUGGGCAUGAAGGGCGUGGGUUGAAGACCAAAUAUUCUACACUGUUCGGUCUAUUUAAAGGUAACUGUACUAAACAUCUUGUUCUUACUGCUCUUUACUCUUUAGUUAAUACCAUCAGUGUGGCACUCCUCCUUUUUAGCGUUCUUUUAGUUAGUAGCAGUAUUUUUGAAGUGUUUCUACCAUUUUUAUGGAGGUUCUUGCGCUGUUCACGAUAUUAGGCUGUAAUUGUUGCCAGCCUGAUCUUGGUAAAUUUUCCUUGCUUAGUCUUAAUAUUGAAACUUUCUCGGAGGAUCCAACCAAGGCCACAUUUUUUAUAAAUAAGAUGCAAGAUUUUAUUCUAUCAACAGGCUUUGAUGUGUCAUCAGCAGCUCUAUUACAAGUCUCUAGAGUCGGCUUACCCCAGUUAAUGUUACUGCUCUUUAUUCUUUAGUUAAAACCAUCGUUGUGACACCCCUGCUUUUAACAUUUGUUUAUUAGUAGCAGUAUUUUAAGAGUGUUUCUACCAUUUUGCUGGAGGUUUUACUGUGUUCUCGCUAUUAGACUGUAAUUAUUGCCAGUCUGAGCAACGUAAAAUUUCAUUAGUCUUGAAUAUGGAAACUUGCUCGGAGGAUCCAACCAAGGCCACAUUUUCAAUUAAAAAAUGCAAUAUUUUGUUCUGUCAACAAGCUUUGAUGUGUCAUCAGCAGCUCUAUUAGUAGUCUCUUGCAUUUUUACCUUUUAUGUUCAAGUAUCCAUAGAAAAGGUCACAAUACAUCACUUUCAUUUAUAUCGGAUGUGCGCAACGAAUCAUCUGGUUACAAUUCUGUAGAUUUUCCCGCUACCCUAUGGUUUGUAGUUAGUACCGAGUAUUAUAGUCCGUUUAGGCCUUGGAGUUGCGUAGGAUAUGAGAGCAAUAGGUUCAGUGAAAAAGUCUUAGAGUCUAGGAUGGAUUUUUUUUUGUAGACUCUUUUGAUGAGACCAGCAUGCGUUUUGUGCGGCGCAUCCAGGAGUCUGAGGUGAAGGAGGCUUUAAAAAGGAUGAAAGGAGGCAAGGCGAUGGGCCCUGAUUGUAUCCCCAUUGAGGUGUGGAAAGGUCUCGGGGACAUAGCGAUAGUAUGGCUAACCAAGCUUUUCAACCUCAUUUUUCGGGCAAACAAGAUGCCAGAAGA